GCCGCGUUGGCGUAGUGGUAGCGCGCCCCACUUGUAAUGGGGAGGUCACUCGUUCAACCCGGGUACGUGGCA
rnacentral:tRNA from 1 species